rnacentral:tRNA from 1 species
GUGAGCGUAGCCAAGUGGUCCAAGGCGCCUGACUGUGGCUCAGGAGACCGUGGGUUCGAAUCCCACCGCUCACCCCA